GAUGAACGCUGGCUACAGGCUUAACACAUGCAAGUCGAGGGGAAACGGCAUUGAGUGCUUGCACUGAAUGGACGUCGACCGGCGCACGGGUGAGUAACGCGUAUCCAACCUUCCCGUUACUGCGGGAUAACCUGCCGAAAGGCAGACUAAUACCGCAUGUUCUUCGAUGACGGCAUCAGAUUCGAAGCAAAGAUCCGUCGGUAACGGAGGGGGAUGCGUCUGAUUAGCUAGUUGGCGGGGCGACGGCCCACCAAGGCGACGAUCAGUAGGGGUUCUGAGAGGAAGGUCCCCCACAUUGGAACUGAGACACGGUCCAAACUCCUACGGGAGGCAGCAGUGAGGAAUAUUGGUCAAUGGGCGGAAGCCUGAACCAGCCAAGUAGCGUGCAGGAUGACGGCCCUACGGGUUGUAAACUGCUUUUAUGCGGGGAUAAAGUGAGGGACGCGUCCCUUUUUGCAGGUACCGCAUGAAUAAGGACCGGCUAAUUCCGU
rnacentral:rRNA from 1 species